UGCUCAUAGGUCCGCCCCUUAAAAUUGGAUUUUCAUCAGCACAGAGAAACUUUCCAUUUUCAGUUGAUGAAUGUUAAAACAGCUUCUAGUGUCCCUGAACUCUGAACAUACAUAAUUCUGUACAAUGAAGCUGAAACAUCCAACUGUAGGAACAAGAAGGAAAGCAUUUUUGAGUAGAGGGGGACUUAAUAACCCAACUUAAAUCAGCAAAGGGCUUUCAGAUAGUUGCAGCAAAUAAGCUCUAUUCAACACAGGCUUUUGGUAUCCAUAUGUUUUUAUAAUUUAAGAUUAUAAACACACAUUAGCGCCACUCUUCAGUUUUAAAGACAGUUUAAAAAGAAGAAAACAUGUUACUUUGACCUGUAAGUUAAUUAAAAUGUGUGUCACUUUGUUCUUUAACUCUGACGUGAAAACUAUCAACACAACCUGUGUUUCCUCAGUCCACAGUCCUGAAAGAUGUGGGUUGCCGGACCAAGGUGAGGACCGCAGAUGCCUUUUGGCGAGUCAAGCCCUGUAUAAGUCACACAGGAGUGUAGAAUGUGAUGCACCCUCACUUGAUUUUCCUGAUGAUUUUGUAACUUCACACCUGUCAAGAAGUUUAGAUAGGACCCAUGCUCCUAUCCUCAUGCUGAUUCAAACAAUUAAAGAAUAGACUGAGAAUACCACAGCUGCUGACAGGUACCCAAAUGAAAAGAAUAAACUUUGUUGGGACUUGAGAAAAUUAUUCUUCUGUAUCCAGUUAUGAAUUAUUUUGUUCUUUUUUUAAUAAUCAUAUGUUUAAGUUCAGAAUCAUAUCAGGCGCCUCUGGAGUCUGAGCUAGAGGAGCCGCGGGUGGAUUUAGAGUCAGAAGAAGUGGAAUCAGAGAUGAAGAUUGUGGCUGUAAAAGUACAGCCAGAAGAAUAUGAGGAGCCUGUGAGCUGAAGUAUUGUGCCUGAAGACUUGUCUGUGCAGCCUGACUGGCAGCAGCAGAUGGUGGCAAGACAUAACUCAGACUGUUGACAGCCAAAAGAAAUUAGCUUGGGCUGUUUAUGACUGUGGUGCCUGAUGAAGACACUUCAUCAAAGGUGUGAUGACCGACAUUUGCAGAUUGGGUGUUCAUAUACCCAAAGAACAGCCCCUGUCAUGAGCUGAAAAAGGUGGUUGAGACACCUGUCAACAAUCCAGACUGACCAGGAAAAACCUUUCAUGAUGAGAUUAAUGAGUUUGAUCUUCCUGAUGGACUGCUUUUUAAAAUUUUAUGAUAAAAAUGAUCUAAUAUACUGAUGUAUUUGUGAUUGUAUAUCAGUGUUCCUAAUUAAAACAAUUAAAUAUUAAAACACUUCAAACUAGUCCACAUCCUGCUCCCUAGCAAACCAGUUCAAAUAUGUUGGGAAAUUGCUUUUGUUAGGAGUUAACUUGCAGUUUAAUAUCAUAGAAAAUAUUUGAUCAAAUCCUUAAACAAGAAUAAAUGACAAAAACCACCUUUCACUUUCAAAAUGUGAGUGUUACACUUAAAGGAAAAUGUUACUAUUCAAGUUAAAAUCCACUUGAAAGCGAUUGCUUCAGGUGUACUGUUGUUCCAAGAAAAAAAUCUUCAUUUAUUCAGCAGGUACAUUUUCUUAUGUAUUGCUGUUUUGUUUAAUUUGUAGCACAGAGGGUUCCCAUAAUUCAUAAUUCAACCCUGAAUCUGUAUCUUAACUCCAAAGCUCUGUGUAAUUUUAUUUCUGAUUAUAUCUGUGCUCUAAUAGUGUUGGCCUCUUCUUUAUUAGGGAAACAAUUAAAAGUCUGCAGUAUAAUCAGGAUUUAAUCUUUUAGUCAUGAAUGGGGAGCUGUCUGUGGUGCUGAAAUAAAUCUGUAAUAUAUAAUGAGUUGUCCCUGGUGCUGAAAUAAACCGUGCCUAAAUACAGAUGUGGUUGAAAUAAGAUACAGAUGUGGAUUUUUAGUCUUGAUAAUUCUGGCAGUGGAAUUCAUAUUUCCUAAUUGCUCCAUUAAUAGAAGAGGAACGAGAAGAAUUUUUUUUACAGUGAAUUUAAUCAUUUUUGUUCUGAGCUGGUGGAGCCUGCAUUAAAAACAUUUUGAAAUUUGAUAAGAUCUAUGGCGUCUGCUCUAGAGUGGGCCAGUAUGUCUCAGCUGAAGUAGUUCAUCCCAUCAGCUGUAGCUGAGUGUCCUUAGCAGAUCAAAAAUCAAGAGUUCAAAAUCAAAAAGUCUGUUUUGUAUAUUUUUGAAAAUUUCAGAGUUUUUGAAUUCUGCUCAAUAUUUAUGUCCUUUUUGUUUUAUUUUGUUUUUUUUUAUAUCAUAAGGUUAUCCUUCACAAAACAUUCAUGCUGGACGACAUAACGUGGUGAGCAGCAAGAACUAUGAGGAUAAUUCUGUUGAUUUUUUUAGUAAAGACUUUAUUUAUCAUAAUAUCAUAUUCAAUUUCACCUCAGUCCGAAUGUUAAACAUUGUGAACUGAAAUUAUAAUCAAGUAUAUAAAUAUAAAAUAGU